rnacentral:rRNA from 1 species
GUGUCAGCAGCCGCGGUAAUACGUAGGGUGCGAGCGUUAAUCGGAAUUACUGGGCGUAAAGCGUGCGCAGGCGGUUAUUUAAGUCAGGUGUGAAAGCCCUGGGCUUAACCUAGGAAUUGCGCUUGAGACUGGAUAGCUUGGAGUGCGGCAGAGGGAGGUGGAAUUCCACGUGUAGCAGUGAAAUGCGUAGAGAUGUGGAGGAACACCGAUGGCGAAGGCAGCCUCCUGGGCCAGCACUGACGCUCAUGCACGAAAGCGUGGGGAGCAAACAGGAUUAGAUACCCUGGUAGUCCACGCCCUAAACGAUGUCGACUGGUUGUUGGUGGGGUUAAACCCAUUAGUAACGAAGCUAACGCGUGAAGUCGACCGCCUGGGGAGUACGGCCGCAAGGUUAAA